rfam:Triticum aestivum genome assembly, contig: Triticum_aestivum_CS42_TGACv1_scaffold_399578_5AS
GUGAGCCGUGUAAUAGGCAACCAUUUCGCGCGGUUCGAGGGGCACUUGAAUAAGCUGCCGGCACCCGGCUACGUCUUUACCCCUAU